CUAGGUGGAUUCUGGUUCGGUGGAGUGUGGAGUCAGCCCGUGAAAAAGAUCUCCACCCGCGGGGUAGAAUAGGCCUUUCCUCACGCGCCGUUUCGGCCGGUCAGUACGCUACCCUAGCAGCCAGUCCCCAGUCCCCAAUCGCAUCACGAUCCAUCCUCCCCAAUCCCCUGCUCUCCUCAUCCUCCCACACGCCAUCUCGUCUCCCUCCGCCGCCGCGUUCGCGCUGCCGGCGGGAGCAGCGCCCGUCGCCGCGCGCUAUGCGGUCAGGAGUGGCUGGUGGAGCUCAGCCUGUUCUGCGCGUUCACGCAUCAUCGAGCCAGCCAUCGAAGGGAAGAUUCAGGCCGCCACCAUUGGAGAUACUCGCCCAGGAAGACCCCUUCUCCUCCCGCUCCCAUCAUGCUCCAUCCCCGCCACCAAGCACACACACUGUAUCGACUUUCGGCAAGAGCAUCAUAACCGCCGCGGGGUCGAGCAGCUGCAGCCGGCAGUCAAGGCAGGGGCCUGUAGAUCCGCCGUCGUCCGCGUCUUGCGCGCGCUCCGCCUGCGGUCGGGGUCGAGCAGCUACAGCCAGCGAUCAACGCGGGGCCCUGUAGAUCCGCCGUCGUCUGCAUCUUCCACGCGCUCUACCUGCGGCCGUAGAUCAAUGGGCCAUCAUCUUGCAUCCGUGAGAGCAGAUUGGCUCCUCUCUCAAGCUCUCCAUCGCACCACCAUCUUGACCAGGCAGGAGGACCACGGACAGAGACCUUGCUGCAAACGGUGGUCCAUUAUUUGGGAUUUGGGGCCUCUGAUGUGAGGUGCUUGGACCUGGUUCCGCAGAGAGAACGCCACUGAUUCGUCCAUCCUCACCCCCAGAAGGCAGCCACAGAUCUAGGUUUGGAGUUUCCUCCAACAAAAUCCGGUGCCCCGCUCAAGGCUCAAGGAGGUUGAGGCACCGGCGACGUCCUCAUAGGAGCUGCUCAACUGAGCCUGAACCCAACGAUGGUAUCUAGCGUUUUGCGAAGGAGAAGGAUCAUCUGAACAAUGGAUGUAAUGAAGCUAUCGCUGCUCAAACCAUGGGAAAGGAGAAAAGAGCAACGCCAACAUGCAUGUUUGCCCACACUUGAUUGUACUUGCCUCAAGAGGAUUCUCUUGUUCCAGUCUCAAACAUUGGUGCAAUCUCAAACAUGUAUGCUGUGAAUAAUUUAUCAUGUCUAGGUAUAAUCUCAAACAUUGGUUUAUAAAGGGAUUAAAACCCCAAAUCUAAUAUCAAAUUUUUUGUUAGUUUAUUCCCAGUACCCGUGUUGCAAUGCUCUUUCUUUCCCGCAUAGUUUGUGAUACUUUUUUUUUCUUGCGGAGUGAUGCCUUGAAGCAAGAUGAUAUCUGGUCUACAUCUAUUUUCCAGAUUACUCAAGCUAUUGCUUUUAUCCUCCAACUUGACUUAAAGUUAAUUCAGUUGGAAGAAGAAAAUGGCCAGGGACAAACAGUAUAAAGGUAUAUUUACUUUGCCACUCUUAUCUAUUUUCAGCUACAAUUGUUUUGUUUUCAAAGGGGACAUUUAUGUAGCACUAUUUCAGUUUGAGUAAAUGGCCAGGGAAAAUGACUCUUUGAUCUCCAUAUGGGUAAAAUCAUUCAGCUACGAGUUUGAGUAUGUAGCACUAUUCAAGUUUGAGUAGUUUGGCCAAAUAGAACAGUCAGUUUACGUUGUUGUAACUAUUUCAAUUUGAGUAUGCAAUUUUGCUGAUAGCCAAGCGGACAAGCACCUAACUGUUUCUGGAUGGCCACACCUGAUUGGUUCCUCUCCGUCAGCACCGCCCCUUUUAGAGUUUGUGUUGGGCAACCUUGGACUAAAAAUGGUUUGGUCGGAAUAAGGAAAACUGAGGUAUCUAUUUCUAUUAAACCAUGGAUAAUCUUUUUGUUCAUAGUUUGUCAUAGUGCAAGAAUCUUUUUAGAAUUAUUUUGGUAGUCGAACAUACAUGGAAAAAUACACCAUAUGGAGCGUCAUAUUAUCAAGGUCUGAAUAGUAAAUGUUAUAUGCAUUGUAAAUCAAUACGUGGUAAGGAUUGUUUUAGGUAACGAGGCAUACUCCAUGAUUGUUUGUUGUUGUUACAGCUUGUAAUUAUGCUUCCUGGACUGCUGGGGCAUCCAGCCUGUACCUGCUUUUCGCGUGUGUGUGCUGCUGCAGCUAGUGUUAAGCGAAAUAUUUUCGUAAACAAUUCUGUUCUUGCAGCUUGGUUUUGCAUCACUGAUCCAUGAUAUGAGCAAUUAUGUUCUUAGAGAAAUGAUGGACCUGUGACUAUGUACCGGAUUUUUCACAUUAGAGAGAUAUGUUAAAGGUCCAUUUAAAUUCUCAUGUAGUUUAGUAUGUGUUUGAGGUUUCACUGCUGUCACCUAAUUAUGUGUCUUAGAUCUGCUUCUCUUAGCGCCACACUUCUAUAUUCUUCUUGGUUAGGAAAUAUUUCCAAAUGAUUGUAUUUCCACAAUUUUAUAGUUAUAUAGGGCUUAUUUUUUGUAUGUGUUGUCACAUGCUUAUGUCUCUUCUGGUUUGGAUGGUCAAAAAUGAAUAUGAUGGAUUUACUACUUGAUGUUUGAUUUUAUUGGGACAUGUAAUUUGUUAGCUGGGUUGCGUUUAAUCAACAUUUUUUUGGCUUUAUCCUUACAUUUAUCCUUACAUGGUUACCAAUUUUGUGAUUGCUCAACGUUUAUUUUUAGAUAAUGUUUACUGGUUUCAUGACAUCCCCUCCAGGGAUCAAUCAGAGGGAAAACUUGAAGACGCUUUAGGUUAUAUCGAGGAUGAUUCAUGUUGUCAAGUGUAUGGUGAGAUUGUGAUGAUGAAUUGAUGACUUCAUGUAUUGAUCUGCUCUCAUGUGGUUCAUUCAUGACAUCCAGUUCACAAGCUACAAAUAUAUGGUGACCAUGGCUCUGUGGGGAACCUGAGCAAAUAUUUCUCAGGUUCACACCUCUGUUUCUGUAAUUAGAAACUUCUGUGUUAUUCAUUUGGUGUUGAUGAUUAAGAUUCAUGAGCAAGAACAUAUUCCGUGGAGAUUAUCUUAGUUAGUCCUGAUUACACAUGAGUGUGGAAUUGUGCACUUACAUCAGUUAGGUUCUUUAUCGGAAAAAAACAUCAGUUAGGUUGUUUAGUAAGAAAUGUAGCGAUGCUCUUGCAGCAAAAUACUUAUAUCAGUAAAUGAUUCCUGAAACUUGUUUGAGUCACUGCCACUAUUAAUAAUUUACUGAAACAAUUCAUCCUUGCGUUUUUGGUUCAGAUAGUGCUAGGAAUUAUUUAGCCAGCUCUAGAUUUAGCGUGUUCAAUCGUUCUGAAUUAUUUACUGUCAAGCACAUGGGUUGACAGAAGGUAAAAUGAUUUUGUACAUGAAAAAUAAUUAAAUCCUACUUAUGAAAACGAUGCAUGAAAACAAUACCAGUGGAGGAGAUCCCAGCAGUUGACUUGAAGCAGUGUGGAAGAAGGGCAUGAAGAUCAAGGAAGGGACCUGCUGGAUACAAUCGUGCCAGACCUGGUGUUCAUCAUCGAUGAUAAGUCGCACCAGGUGUUCACCCGGUGCGGAAACUACUUGGUGGCCAUGCAUACUCACAAAGCAAAAUAUUUCCUAUGUGGUUAUGUUAUUUCCCCUUUUGGCUAACGACAACUUUUGUGUUCUUUUAAUUUUGUUUGCUGCUCAACUUGUGCGGGUAAAUUACUGUCAGGUGACCAACCUGGAUGUUAUUAUUCUUAUUUUUAGCAUAUGGUAAAUCUAUUUUCUCUUGCUAUGUGCUAUUGUGGAAUUAUACACGAUAUGCGUGUGUGUGUAGUCACCACUCUUGAGUUAAAUUUUCAGUUCCUUUAUUCAGAACCAUUGCUUCAUGUGGUUUACGAAUUCUUUGAAACAAUGUAACGUGCUUCAUUUUCCUUCUGUAUGCACUUAUUAUCAUUUUCUUGAGCUAUUGGAUGAUUAUUCAUACUAAGUUAUUGUCUCAUCACGACUUAGUUUACAGUUUGAUCUUACUAUAUACUUCUUGCAUUCACUUGCCCUGUAUUUUGUGGGCCACGGCACGCGAGGAGAUUGGUAAGGCGUGAAUGGAGAUACAGGUUCUGGAUUCUUUUACAUAGUGCUAGGAAUUAUUUAGCAGCUCUACAUUUUAGUAUGCUCCUUCAUUCUAAAUUAUCUACUGUCAUGCACAUGUGUUGACAGAAGAAAAACAAAUAAUUUUGUACAGGAACAUAAUACUAACAAUCACAGCUACUCUCAAUUUCACUGCCGAUCUGCUCUUUUAGGUUCUGCCGAAUUGGCUCAAUUCUUCUCCACACGUCGUUGGAAGGCUUCAUUGCGCCUCUCCGAAAGGUUAUCAGCCUAAUGGAGGUUUUUUGAGAUCAAGACUAUCAAGAUCCUGCCCGGUGUCAUGCUGGAAGCUAUGUUGCAGAAGCUGCACCUAUUGGUGGUGCAGCAACCUAUUAGAAUUAGUUUUUUUGUGUGUGCAGUGGCCUCUAAAGAUUGUAUUGCAGCGAUCUUAUUUAGAUGAUACUUUUGCUAUUUUUAGCUUUAUUUCUAUUCGUCUUUGAAAAACUAUAAGAGUGUUAAUAUAUUUCGCUAUUUUCCUAA